AGAAAACAUUUCCACAUUUUAUAGUAUUUAAGGUGUGUAGGAAAAUUUGAUCAAUGGGGAAUGUCUUUCUGGUCAAAAGGAAACUAAGUCACUUUUAAAUAAAAUUAUUUCGUGUUUUCGAAAUUGGAAGUUAUUUGCUGAGCCAUUACAAGCACAAGAAAGGGCAACAAAUGGAACCUUGUAGGUACGGGCCCAUUAGUCCACUGACUGCAUCCAAUCACCAUUAGUGAUGACAAUAACUUCCCUUUUCCUUUUCUGUUUUGUGUAGUUUUCCUUUGUAGUCAACCAUG
rnacentral:misc_RNA from 1 species